rnacentral:rRNA from 1 species
UACGUAGGGUGCAAGCGUUGUCCGGAAUUAUUGGGCGUAAAGAGCUCGUAGGCGGUCUGUCGCGUCUGCUGUGAAAACUCAGGGCUUAACCCUGAGCUUGCAGUGGGUACGGGCAGACUAGAGUGCGGUAGGGGAGACUGGAAUUCCUGGUGUAGCGGUGAAAUGCGCAGAUAUCAGGAGGAACACCAGUGGCGAAGGCAGGCUCUGG